GGUAGCAUAAUCAUUAGCUUUUUAAUUGAAAGAUGGAAUGAAUGGUGACAUAGAUUAUUAGAUUUUUCAAGCCUUUCAAAUUUUCACAUUCGAUGAAAAUUUCGAAAUAUUAAUUUUAGACAAAAAGACCCUAUGAAGCUUUAUAACUUAAGUCUCCUAUUAUCAAAAGUUAUUUUUUUGGGGUAAAAAAUAAUUUUACUAUUUUUCUUUUUAACUGUUCCUGAUCCUAAUUUGAACCAAGAAGAAGCUCCUCUAGGGAUAACAGCAUAAUCUGGGCUGAGAGAUCGUAUUAAAGCCCGGGCUUGUGAC
rnacentral:rRNA from 1 species